rnacentral:RNase_P_RNA from 1 species
UAAGCAAAUUAAAUAGUCGCGUAUAGCAAUGCCGAAAGGCUGCGUACGAGGAAAGUCCGGGCUCCAUAGAGCAAAGAUGCAAGAUAACGUCUUGUGAGGGUAACCUUAAGGAAAGUGCAACAGAAAAUAACCGCCUAUUUUAUAGGUAAGGGUGAAAAGGUAAGGUAAGAGCUUACCGCUUCUUUAGGCAACUAAGGAGGGUCAAUGUAAACCCCAUCUGGAGCAACACCGUAAAAGAAGGAUAAGACUGCUCGUCGUCUUCUAAAAUGGUGGCUUUGAGUCUUAUAGUGAUAUAAGAAGUAGAUAAAUGACUAUUCAUGACAGAACCCGGCUUACAGAUUUACUUAUGUA